rnacentral:rRNA from 1 species
GGGCCCGCACAAGCGGUGGAGCAUGUGGUUUAAUUCGAUGCAACGCGAAGAACCUUACCAGGGUUUGACAUAGUACGAAGUUUUUUGAAAAAAAACCACCUUCGGGAACGUACAUACAGGUGGUGCAUGGCUGUCGUCAGCUCGUGUCGUGAGAUGUUGGGUUAAGUCCCGCAACGAGCGUAACCCUUGUUUUUAGUUGCCUUUCGAGGAUAUUUAGAAAGACUGCCGAUUAUAAAUCGGAGGAAGGUAAGGACGACGUCAAGUCAUCAUGCCCCUUACACUCUGGGCUACACACGUGCUACAUUGGGUAGAACAAUAAGUUGCUAAGUUGCGAAACCAAGCG